rnacentral:lncRNA from 1 species
AAAAAUUGUUUUUCCAAAAAGAAAAGAAAAAGAACCAAAGAAAACAAAAAGAGGCAAAGGAAUAGGAGAACGUGAAAAACAAAACAAUCACCAAAAAUCCCAAAAAAAUAAAAAAAUAAUAAUAAGAAAAAAAUAAAACUAAUAGCUAUUUUUAAACUUAAAACAAGUUUAUUAUUUAACAAGGUUAAAAAUAUUUCUCCAAAGCACACACACAAUGACUCAAACCCAGAACCCAGAGGUACACUAACACUCACUCAACCGCCAGACCAGCUAUACCAUUCUGAUACUUAAAUGCG